GUUGGGCUGCAUGCAUUGGCUGCCGUAGCGCGACGUGGGGUAGGGCUCCGCGCGCAGCAGCAGCGAGAUGUAGCCGGACAGGUAGCAGUGGCCGUUGAGGGGGUCCCCGUUGAUGCCUACAAAAUCUCCCUGGAGCUAGAAAUGAAGUCGUCAUAUUUGCCUGCUCCCUGAGAUCUGAAGGAAUUCAAUUUCUUUUCUUGUGGCAUAUAAAAUAUAAUUUUAAAGUCAAUUACAAGAAGGAGUAAUCUGCAUUCUGCAAAAUUGACUGGUUCGCUAAUUUGACUAUAAGACAUCUUUAAUGAUUGUCAGGAGAUAAACUUUAACUGUAAGCAGCUAAAUAUAUUUAUAAGAAAAGUGCUGCAUCUCUUGCUACAUGAACAUGAAGCAUAUCUAAAUACAACAUCAAAAGUUGUGUUAAAAGAAACCAAACCCAUACAACACAGGGAUUAAAUGAUGUGGAAGCUCAUGCCAGCUGCAGUGUGUGCGUUAUAGCCAAAUCAGAAGGAUCGGUAAAUGCCGUUGUAAAUUGUAAUUUGUAUGCAGUAUUUAAGCAGAGGGUGGAGUUUGAUGAAGAAAUAAAAUGAGUAUCAUGCUUUUAAAAAAAUGACACAACUAUGAAAGCACGGUUCAGUCACAAACUUUCCUUUCAAAGUAGAGGGGUGAAAACAAGGCCACAGCUCUGGAGGAGGCGGCCCCAGCUCGGUGAAGAGGCAGGGAACCAGUGAACAGUCCAGAAGCCCCCCUUCCCCCCUAAUUAGACCUACAAGUGCAAUAAAUCUCGCUCCUUUUUUUCCAGGCUAAGCUUCCAAAAGGAUGAUGCAGCAAUGAGUCUGUGGUUCAGGGUACUCCAGUCCCUGGCCCUCCCCCAUUUUAAAUAAAGAGUACGAAGAAGUGGAGGAGAAAGUGGAAUGAAAAAA